UACGUAGGGGGCAAGCGUUGUCCGGAAUCAUUGGGCGUAAAGAGCGCGUAGGCGGCUCAGUAAGUCCGCUCUGAAAGUCAGGGGCUCAACCCCUGGAUGCGGGUGGAUACUGCUGGGCUAGAGUCCGGAAGAGGUGAGUGGAAUUCCUGGUGUAGCGGUGAAAUGCGCAGAUAUCAGGAGGAACACCGAUGGCGAAGGCAGCUCGCUGGGACGUGACUGACGCUGAGACGCGAAAGCGUGGGGAGCAAACAGG
rnacentral:rRNA from 1 species